rnacentral:misc_RNA from 1 species
GGGAAUUAACUAAAGAAUGGAUGGAGAUACAAACUAAAUAAACUUGAAAACUUGAUUAUACCUUUGGGAUACAUUUCUUGCAGAGGCACAUUAAUCUCUUAAUUGAAGGGAUACAACAAAUACAUCAAGGCUUUUCACAAGCCUACAAUAACAAAAUAGAUGCACAACCAAUUCAAAAAAACAGAGGUGAUUUACUUGCUUGCUGCCUUCUUGGAUUGCUGACAACAAUUGUUACUGUUUCUAUAAUGUUGGAAUACUUGAUAUUAGGCUAGUGCUUUGAAGGGGAAAAAGGAUGGAGUUCAAGAAUUUCCAGUUGGGGUUUUGGAGAUCAGGGGAUAAAUGUUGGAAAUUUGAUUUUUGGGAAUGCUCUUGGAUGUAAUGCAGGCUUAGGAGCCAACAGUUGUUUCUGGGGUGCUAGAGUUGGUUUUGGAGGUUCUGUAGGCACCAAGAAAGUUUCCGGAGGUAAGCCUGUUGAGGUUGGUGGCAAUACUGGUGGUUUGAAGGGGACUAAGAAUGUUGGUGGAGCUGGUAUUGGUGGUAUUAUAGGUGUAAAUGCAAAUCCAGGAGGAGGAGGUGGUGGUGGUGGGGGGGGGGGUGGGGGUGGUGGUGGUGGGGGUGGUGGU